rnacentral:tRNA from 1 species
GCCAGUAUGGCUCAAUGGAUAGAGCGUCAGCCUACAAACUGAAGGGUCCCAGGUUCAAUUCCAGUUAAGGGCA